rnacentral:misc_RNA from 1 species
GAUGAAGAACGUAGCGAAACGCGAUAUGUAAUGUGAAUUGCAGAAUUCAGUGAAUCAUCGAAUCUUUGAACGCACAUUGCGCCCCCUGGUAUUCCGGGGGGCAUGCCUGUUCGAGCGUCAUUUCACCACUCAAGCCUCGCUUGGUAUUGGGCAUCGCGGUCCGCCGCGCGCCUCAAAUCGACCGGCUGGGUCUUCUGUCCCCUAAGCGUUGUGGAAACUAUUCGCUAAAGGGUGUUCGGGAGGCUACGCCGUAAAACAACCCCAUUUCUAAGGUUGACCUCGGAUCAGGUAGGGAUACCCGCUGAACUUAAGCAUAUCAAUAAGCGGAGGA